GUGGUUCAGUGGUAGAAUGCUCGCCUGCCACGCGGGCGGCCCGGGUUCGAUUCCCGCGAUGCA
rnacentral:tRNA from 1 species